UCAGCUGUCAUGAUGCCUUCUUGAUGUGACCAACAAAGAAGGCAUUUUUACGGCUGUCA
rnacentral:pre_miRNA from 1 species